rnacentral:lncRNA from 10 species
GAUACCUCUUGCGUUUCUUGCAGAUCCCCUGCCUGCAGCACGUGCUGAUCUCCAAGGGUGAGGCUGGAUGAAGCCAGGGGCUAUGGAAAGGGAGACUGUUUCAGAGGACUUGACACCAUCUUCAGUAAUUUCUCUGGUUCUUGGCAGCUCCAUUUGGCUGCGUCCCUACCCUGCAUAACCCUCCCAGCUAGUCUACUCCAGGGCAGCAUCCAGCUGGUGACCUGAGAGGGCAGUGGCGCACCAGUCUCCAUGAAGGUUGAGCUCCGAUGGCCAACAGCCAUUUCCACCUUGUGGUCUACAACUCUUCAUCCCGACUGCAUGGAGGUUGGUCUCUCUCUUCAGCUGGAUUUAGGCCACCAUCUGAGCCCCCGGGGUACGUUUUGUCUGACCCUGGCGCCAUUCGAACGGUUCUUCUACAGCAUCAGUUCUCUUUCCUGCCACCAUGUGAAGAAGGACAUGUUUGCUUCCCCUUCUGCCAUGAAUGGACAGGGUCCUGCUGUGUUGCCCAGGCUGGCCUUGAACUCCUGGCUUCAAACAGUCUUCCCACUUGGGCUCCCAAAGUGCUGGGAUUAAAGGGGCGAGUUACAGCACCAGGACCUGAAAUGUGACACCCCUGCUCCCCAUUCACCCUCCGCUAUCAGUAAAAGCUUCCUCAGACCUCACCAGAAGCUGGACAGAUAGAUGCUGGUGCCAAGCUUGUACAGACUGCAGAACCAUGGGCCAAAUAAACCUCUUUUCUUUAUAAAUUG